rnacentral:rRNA from 1 species
GACGAACGCUGGCGGCGUGCUUAACACAUGCAAGUCGAACGGAAAGGCCCUGCUUUUGUGGGGUGCUCGAGUGGCGAACGGGUGAGUAACACGUGAGUAACCUGCCCUUGACUUUGGGAUAACUUACGGAAACUGGGGCUAAUAAAGAAUAGAAGAUACUACUGCAUGGUGGGAGUUGGAAAGAUUCGGAGGUUGGGGAGGGAAUAGAGGCUUAUCAGCUUGUUGGUGGGGUAGUGGAUUACAAAGUACUUGACGGGUAGCCUGCCUGUGAGGGUGACCGGCUACCUGUUUUCUGAGAGACGUCUGUGACUGCUACGGGAGGCAGAAGUGGGGAAGAUUGCACAAUGGGCGGAAGGCUGAUGCAGCAACUUUGCGGGCGGGAUAACGGCCUUCGGGUGGUAAACCGAUUUCGCCUGUGACGAAGCGUGUUUGACGGUAAUGGGUAAAGAAGCACCGGCUAACUACGUG